rnacentral:rRNA from 1 species
UCGCAAGAUAGAGUGGCAAAUGGAUGCGUAACACGUGGAUAACUUACCUUAAACUUGGGAAUAGCGCUGAGAAAUCGGCGAUAAGACCGAAUGUGGUAUAGCUGUGAUUCAGUUAUACUAAAAUGGCCUCUACUUGUAAGCUGUUGGUUUAAGAUAGGUCUGCGUCCUAUUAGCUAGUUGGUAAGGUAAUGGCUUACCAAGGCUUUGAUGGGUACCCGGGCUGAGAGGCUGGUCGGGCAUAAUGGGACUGAGACACUGCCCAUACUCC